rnacentral:rRNA from 1 species
AUUGAACGCUGGCGGCAUGCCUUACACAUGCAAGUCGAACGGUAACAGGUCUUCGGAUGCUGACGAGUGGCGAACGGGUGAGUAAUACAUCGGAACGUGCCCGAUCGUGGGGGAUAACGAGGCGAAAGCUUUGCUAAUACCGCAUACGAUCUACGGAUGAAAGCGGGGGAUCUUCGGACCUCGCGCGGCCGGAGCGGUCGAUGGCAGAUUAGGUAGUUGGUGGGAUAAAAGCUUACCAAGCCGACGAUCUGUAGCUGGUCUGAGAGGAUGACCAGCCACACUGGGACUGAGACACGGCCCAGACUCCUACGGGAGGCAGCAGUGGGGAAUUUUGGACAAUGGGCGAAAGCCUGAUCCAGCCAUGCCGCGUGCAGGAUGAAGGCCUUCGGGUUGUAAACUGCUUUUGUACGGAACGAAAAGCCUCUUUCUAAUAAAGAGGGGUCAUGACGGUACCGUAAGAAUAAGCACCGGCUAACUACGUG